AUUGAACGCUGGCGGCAGGCCUAACACAUGCAAGUCGAGCGGAUGAAGGGAGCUUGCUCCUGGAUUCAGCGGCGGACGGGUGAGUAAUGCCUAGGAAUCUGCCUGGUAGUGGGGGAUAACGUCCGGAAACGGGCGCUAAUACCGCAUACGUCCUGAGGGAGAAAGUGGGGGAUCUUCGGACCUCACGCUAUCAGAUGAGCCUAGGUCGGAUUAGCUAGUUGGUGGGGUAAAGGCCUACCAAGGCGACGAUCCGUAACUGGUCUGAGAGGAUGAUCAGUCACCCUGGAACUGAGAAACGGCCCAGACUCCUAGGGGAGGCCGGAGUGGGGAAUAUUGGAAAAUGGGCGAAAGCCUGAUCCAGCCAUGCCGGGUGUGUGAAGAAGGUCUUCGGAUUGUAAAGCACUUUAAGGUGGGAGGAAGGGCAGUAAGUUAAUACCUUGCUGUUUGGACGUUACCAACAGAAAAAACCCCGGCUAACUUGGU
rnacentral:rRNA from 1 species